UACGUAGGGGGCAAGCGUUGUCCGGAUUUAUUGGGCGUAAAGAGCGUGUAGGCGGCCAAGUAAGUCUGCUGUGAAAACUCGAGGCUUAACCUCGAGCUGUCGGCGGAAACUAUUUGGCUAGAGUCCGGAAGAGGAGAAUGGAAUUCCCGGUGUAGCGGUGAAAUGCGCAGAUAUCGGGAAGAACACCCGUGGCGAAAGGCGGUUCUCUGGGACGGUACUGACGCUGAGGUGCGAAAGCGUGGGGAGCAAACAGG
rnacentral:rRNA from 1 species